rnacentral:rRNA from 1 species
GACGAACGCUGGCGGCGUGCUUAACACAUGCAAGUCGAACGGUAAGGCCCCUUCGGGGGUACACGAGUGGCGAACGGGUGAGUAACACGUGAGCAACCUGCCCUUGACUCUGGAAUAACAGUUGGAAACAGCUGCUAAUACUGGAUAUUCAUCGUCUCCUUCCUGGGGGGUGGUGGAAAGCUCCGGCGGUCAGGGAUGGGCUCGCGGCCUAUCAGCUUGUUGGUGAGGUAAUGGCUCACCAAGGCUUCGACGGGUAGCCGGCCUGAGAGGGCGACCGGCCACACUGGGACUGAGAUACGGCCCAGACUCCUACGGGAGGCGGCAGUGGGGAAUAUUGCACAAUGGGCGCAAGCCUGAUGCAGCAACGCCGCGUGCGGGAUGACGGCCUUCGGGUUGUAAACCGCUUUCAGUAGGGACGAAGGGUGACUGACGGUACCUACAGAAGAAGGACCGGCUAACUACGUG